CCCGCACAAGCGGUGGAGCAUGUGGUUUAAUUCGAAGCAACGCGAAGAACCUUUACCAGGUCUUGACAUCCCGAUGCUAUUUCUAGAGAUAGAAAGUUACUUCGGUACAUCGGUGACAGGUGGUGCAUGGUUGUCGUCAGCUCGUGUCGCGAGAUGUUGGGUUAAGUCCCCGCAACGAGCGCAACCCCUAUUGUUAGUUGCCAUCAUUCAGUUGGGCACUCUAGCGAGACUGCCGGUAAUAAACCGGAGGAAGGUGGGAUGACGUCAAAUCAUCAUGCCCCUUAUGACCUGGGCUACACACGUGCUACAAUGGUUGGUACAACGAGUUGCGAGUCGGUGACGGCGAGCUAAUCUCUUAAAGCCAAUCUCAGUUCGGAUUGUAGGCUGCAACUCGCCUACAUGGAAGUCGGAAUCGCUAGUAAUCGCAGGUCAGCAUACUGCGGUGAAUACGUUCCCGGGUCUU
rnacentral:rRNA from 1 species